UUUUUCUUUCUCUUUGACAACUCAUUGCUCAGUGGGAUGAUGAAACAGAUUUAAAAGCCCUGGAAGCAGCUGUUCGUUCUAUCGAGUGUGAUGGGCUUGAAUGGAAAGCUAGCAAGUUCAUUCCUGUUGCAUAUGGUGUGCAGAAACUUCAAAUUUCCUGUGUAGUAGAAGAUGAUAAAGUCGGUACGGAUUUUCUGGAAGAAAAAAUCACAGAAUUUGAGGAUUUUGUA